rnacentral:rRNA from 1 species
AUGUAUAAGUAUAAACGAUUCAAUCGUGAAACCGCGAACGGCUCAUUAUAACAGCUAUAAUCUACUUGAUCUUGACGAAUCCUACAUGGAUAACUGUGGUAAUUCUAGAGCUAAUACAUGCACUAAAGCUCCAACCUUGUCUCUUCACGGGGAUGGGGGAAGAGUGCAUUUAUUGGAAGAAAACCAUUUGUGGCGCUCUAACAGGUGUCGCAAUUUGUAGACUCAGAAUAACUAAGCUGAUCGCAUGGCCUUGUGCCGGCGACGUGUCUUUCGAGUGUCUGCCUUAUCAACUUUCGAUGGUAGUGUAUGUGACUACCAUGGAGGUGACGGGUAACGGAGGAUAAGGGUUCGACUCCGGAGAAGGGGCCUGAGAAAUGGCCACUACGUCUAAGGAUGGCAGCAGGCGCGCAAAUUACCCACUCUCGGUACGAGGAGGUAGUGACGAAAAAUAACGACGGUGUCCCCUUCGGGGGUCACGAUCGGAAUGGGUACAAUUUAAACCCCUUAACGAAAACUAUGAGAGGGCAAGUCUGGUGCCAGCAGCCGCGGUAAUUCCAGCUCUCAAAAUGCAUAGAUACAUUGCUGCGGUUAAAAAGCUCGUAGUUGGAUCUGUGUUGGGGACUCGGUCCUCUCUUCGGAGAGGUACUGAUGUUCCUCGACAAUGUGAGUCGGUUCACGUUGCGUUCGUGGUCUUAGGUGAUCGCGUUCCGGCGGGGGUCGGCGAGUUUACUUUGAACAAAUCAGAGUGCUCCAAACAGGCGUUUCGCUUGAAUGUUCGUGCAUGGAAUAAUAGAAGAGGAUUUCGGUUCUAUUUUAUUGGUUUUGAGGCCGAGAUAAUGGUUAAUAGAGACAAACGGGGGCAUUCGUACUUCUGCGUGAGAGGUGAAAUUCUUGGACCACAGAAAGACGCACUACAGCGAAAGCAUUUGGCAAGAAUG